CCUACGGGUGGCAGCAGUGAGGAAUAUUGGUCAAUGGACGAGAGUCUGAACCAGCCAAGUAGCGUGAAGGAUGACUGUCCUAUGGGUUGUAAACUUCUUUUAUAUGGGAAUAAAAUGUUCCACGUGUGGGCUUUUGUAUGUACCUUAUGAAUAAGGAUCGGCUAACUCCGUGCCAGCAGCCGCGGUAAUACGGAGGAUCCGAGCGUUAUCCGGAUUUAUUGGGUUUAAAGGGGGCGUAGGUGGAUUGUUAAGUCAGUUGUGAAAGUUUGCGGCUCAACCGUAAAAUUGCAGUUGAAACUGGCAGUCUUGAGUUCAGUAGAGGUGGGCGGAAUUCGUGGUGUAGCGGUGAAAUGCUUAGAUAUCACGAAGAACUCCGAUUGCGAAGGCAGCUCACUGGACUGCAACUGACACUGAGGCUCGAAAGUGUGGGUAUCAAACAGGAUUAGAUACCCGUGUAGUC
rnacentral:rRNA from 1 species